UACGUAGGGCGCAAGCGUUAUCCGGAAUUAUUGGGCGUAAAGAGCUCGUAGGCGGUUUGUCGCGUCUGCCGUGAAAGUCCGGGGCUCAACUCCGGAUCUGCGGUGGGUACGGGCAGACUAGAGUGAUGUAGGGGAGACUGGAAUUCCUGGUGUAGCGGUGAAAUACGCAGAUAUCAGGAGGAACACCGAUGGCGAAGGCAGGUCUCUGGGCAUUAACUGACGCUGAGGAGCGAAAGCAUGGGGAGCGAACAGG
rnacentral:rRNA from 1 species